ensembl:snoRNA
ACCCCCUGGCAAUGCGCAAGGAGACACCUCAUUGGUGGUGUUGCUCUUAUGUCAGUCAGGAGCAGAGCAGAUGACAGUUCUUUGUUCAUCCUAGCUUGAUGCCUGGAUCAGUGGCCAAAGCUGUUUCAUGCCUAGGGCACAAAA